CUCAACCCCAAUUUUCUCAAUUCUCUUUCGAAGACUAAUGAGAGCAAGUGCAAUAAAAAAAAGACUUGAUUAUCACAGAUCGUGCAGAUCACUUUAAAGACAGUGAGGCGCAGAAAAUCGCAUAGACAAAUAGCAUUUCUAGAACGAUUCGAUUAUUUUUGCCAACCUUGUGAAUGUUCGUCUAAACAAACCUUGAACUGCUUUCGUGAUAAACUGAUAACAGAAUGAGCUUGUUAGAGCUAAUCGCGCGGCAGUCAACGAUCAGACCGCGUGACAUACAAAACUCUGUGGAGUGCGUAACAAAAAAUCAUGCGCGUAGCAGUAAUGGCCUAGUGUUGUCUUUAUGUGUCACCGAGAGAGAAAGAUGAAUGAUAAUGAGUUAUGUUUCUUCUUAAUCAUAUUUUACAUAAUGCGUCGUGCUACACAAUGCCUGGUGGAACUGUUCUAUAAGCAAGAGAUAACAAUUAUUGUACAACUGUGACGCAAAGCUAUAGCACCACUGUUCUGAUCAAAGGAAUAUGAAAGCAAAAUAAAUAAGCAUAUUAAAUGUAUAUUCAUGAAGAGGGGGAAGUUUAGAUCCUCAAAUCUCGUCUGCCAAAAUUUCUUUUCUUUUCAUUUUUUAUUGUAAAAUGCAACUUUACUUUUAACUGACUAGAGCUUUGUCCAAUACAUGAGGAAUAUUUUCUCAAGGUUCUCAAAAAGCAGAAUAUGCAAUUUUGCGUUUAAUCAAAUGAGAAGACGGCACUCUCGACAAAGAUCAUCUGAAUGACCCUUUUAUGUUAACUCACAGAGACAUUAUUGUUAAUCUUAAAGAUGUGUUAAAUCGUUUUAGAAAAAAUCGUCGUAUAAUUUUUAAA